rnacentral:rRNA from 1 species
UACGAGGGGGGCUAGCGUUGCUCGGAAUCACUGGGCGUAAAGGGUGCGUAGGCGGGUUUUUAAGUCAGGGGUGAAAUCCUGGAGCUCAACUCCAGAACUGCCUUUGAUACUGAAGAUCUUGAGUCCGGGAGAGGUGAGUGGAACUGCGAGUGUAGAGGUGAAAUUCGUAGAUAUUCGCAAGAACACCAGUGGCGAAGGCGGCUCACUGGCCCGGUACUGACGCUGAGGCACGAAAGCGUGGGGAGCAAACAGG